AGGGGGAUAACAGUUAGAAAUGACUGCUAAUACCGCAUAAGCGCACAGNACUGCAUGGUACAGUGUGAAAAAACUCCGGUGGUAUAAGAUGGACCCGCGUCUGAUUANCCAGUUGGCGGGGUAACGGCCCACCAAAGCGACNAUCAGUAGCCGACCUGAGAGGGUGACCGGCCACAUUGGGACUGAGACACGGCCCAAACUCCUACGGGAGGCAGCAGUGGGGAAUAUUGCACAAUGGGGGAAACCCUGAUGCAGCAACGCCGCGUGAGUGAAGAAGUAUUUCGGUAUGUAAAGCUCUAUCAGCAGGGAAGAAGAUGACGGUACCUGAUUAAGAAGCCCCGGCUAACUACGUGCCAGCAGCCGCGGUAAUACGUAGGGGGCAAGCGUUAUCCGGAUUUACUGGGUGUAAAGGGAGCGCANACGGCAGUGCAAGUCUGGAGUGAAAGCCCGGGGCCCAACCCCGGAACUGCUCUGGAAACUGUGCGGNUAGAGUACUGGAGGGGCAGGCGGAAUUCCUAGUGUAGCGGUGAAAUGCGUANAUAUUAGGAGGAACACCAGUGGCGAAGGCGGCCUGNUGGACGAUGACUGACGUUGAGGCUCGAAAGCGUGGGGAGCAAACAGGAUUAGAUACCCUGGUAGUCCACGCCGUAAACAAUGACUACUAGGGUGU
rnacentral:rRNA from 1 species